GCCUUUUUAGCUCAGUUGGUAGAGCAACUCAUUCGUAAUGAGUAGGUCUGGGGUUCGAGUCCCCAAAAAGGCUCUA
rnacentral:tRNA from 1 species